CUGCUGCACUAUAGACAAUCGAAGCAAAAUGACUAGACAUCCUUGAUUGAGAAAAUCUCUAAGAAACUAGCGAUACGGAAAGACAAACUGCUUACUAUUGCUGGUAGAAUAAUUUUGCUCAAUUCGGUAAUCACACCAAUUAUAUCUUAUUGGAUGUCCACACUACAAGAAAAUAAGAUUUUUGCAAUGAAAUUAUUUGUAAUGAAAAUAUUUUCAUUGCAAAUACCAGUUUUGAUG
rnacentral:lncRNA from 1 species